rnacentral:rRNA from 1 species
GACGAACCUUGUCUUCGUUUCUAAUACAUGCAAUUUUCUCGAUGAUGAUUGGUGCUUGCACCGAUUUGAAGAGCUGCUAACGUGUGCGUCCCUCGUGGUCAUUCUGCCUUUCAGCUGUCGACAACUUUUGGAAACGCAUGCUCCUACCUCAUAAUCCCUUUAAACAUCUGUUUUAUGUUUGCAUGAUGCAAUCUCCUCACUCACAGAUGAUCCCGCGUUGUAUUAGCUAGUUGGUGAGUUAAAGGCUCACCAAGGCGAUGAUACAUAGCCGACCUGAGAGGGUGAUAGGCAACAUUGGGACUGAGACACGGCCCAAACUACUACGGGAGGCAGCAGUAGGGAAUCGUCGGCAACGGACGAAAGUCUGACCGAGCAACGCCGCGUGAGUGAAGAAGGAUGUCGGAUCGUAAACCUCUGUUGGUAGAGAAGAACGUUGGUGAGGGUGGAAAGCUAAUCAAGUGACGGUAAAUACCCAGAAAGGGACGGCUAACUACGAG